rnacentral:rRNA from 1 species
CCUACGGGAGGCAGCAGUGAGGAAUAUUGGUCAAUGGCCGGAAGGCUGAACCAGCCAUGCCGCGUGAAGGUCAGUGCCCUAUGGGCGUUAAACUUCUUUUGUGCGGGAGCAAUAUUGGUCACGUGUGGCUAGACGAGAGUACUGUAUGAAUAAGCAUCGCCUAACUACGGGCUAGCAGCCGCGGUAAUACGGGGGAUGCAAGCGUUAUCCGGAUUUUUUGGGUUUAAAGGGUGCGUAGGUUGUGAGGGAAGUCAGCGGGGAAAUGCCGCCGCUCAACGGGGUGAAGUGCAAUUGAUAAUGCGUUGCUGGAAUGCGGAUGCGGUGGGAGGAA